rnacentral:rRNA from 1 species
GGGCUUGACAUCCCACGAACCUGCCCGAAAAGGCGGGGUGCCCGCAAGGGAGCGUGGAGACAGGUGGUGCAUGGCUGUCGUCAGCUCGUGUCGUGAGAUGUUGGGUUAAGUCCCGCAACGAGCGCAACCCUCACCCCUAGUUGCCACCGGGUUAAGCCGAGCACUCAAGGGGAACUGCCAGCGUUAAGCUGGAGGAAGGCGGGGAUGACGUCAAGUCAUCAUGCCCCUUACGCCCUGGGCUACACACGUGCUACAAUGGCCAGUACAAAGGGACGCGAGACUGCGAAGUGGAGCUAAUCCCAAAAAGCUGGUCUAAGUUCAGAUUGCAGUCUGCAACUCGACUGCAUGAAGGAGGAAUCGCUAGUAAUCGCGCAUCAGCCCGGCGCGGUGAAUACGUUCCCGGGCCUUGUACACACCGCCCGUCACACCACGAAAGCUGUCUGUACUCGAAGUCGCUGAG